rnacentral:lncRNA from 1 species
GUAACAAAAGACUUAGUCGCUAGCCAUUUGAGCCUUUUGACGCGAACUCCAACAUUGGCCAGAUGAAGGAGCCCGGUUACUCAGCUUCUAUCGCCACGUGACCACGUACUCAUAGCAAUUACUACCUUUUGACGCGAGAACCAACACUUUUAGGUGCAGAUCCCCGGUUACUCAGUAGUAAAGACUAGCGGAGUACAGUCAAAUUUAUUCAUAGCUAAAAAUCACAAAAACUCAAUAUAACACAAGAACCAAAAGAAAACUUGCAUCAGCUAGCCUCAUUUUCAAACAUGGAGAACUAAAGUUAAUAACCGGACCAAUUCACAUAAAAAUGCCAAUAAUCAUUCCCUAUGCCUAGGAAAGUUAACCAAAAAUUAUAAGAGUGAAACAAUCAUCGAUAUUCACCAAAGAGAUGUUUUUGGAUUCAACCACAUUAACUCGAUACAUUUUUAUUAUUAAAACUUGGCAAAAGUAGAAAUAGAGGCAAUAAUCCAACAUCAAACCUUGGCAUGCACUUACGAGCCAAUCACUAGAAAGAAAGAAAGAAAUUGAACGAGAGGUGGACAAAUAGCAAAUUAAAAAGAAAGCAAAAACAUC